rnacentral:rRNA from 1 species
UACGUAGGGGGGCAAGCGUUGUCCGGAAUCAUUGGGCGUAAAGCGCGUGUAGGCGGUUCGAUAAGUCUGCUGUGAAAGUCCAGGGCUCAACCCUGGGAUGCCGGUGGAUACUGUCGGGCUAGAGUACGGAAGAGGCGAGUGGAAUUCCCGGUGUAGCGGUGAAAUGCGCAGAUAUCGGGAGGAACACCAAUUGCGAAGGCAGCUCGCUGGGACGUCACUGACGCUGAGACGCGAAAGCGUGGGGGAGCAAACAGG